rnacentral:lncRNA from 1 species
UUUAGGUUAGUACAUUUAGUUGCUUUAGGUUAGUUGAUUUAGUUGCUUUAGGUUAGUAGAUUUAGUUGCUUUAGGUUAAUUAGUUGAUUUAGGUUAGUUGAUUUAGUUCCUUUAGGUUAGUAGAUUUAGUUGCUUUAGGUUAGUUGAUUUAGGUUAGUUGAUUUAGUUGCUUUAGGUUAGUAGAUUUAGUUGCUUUAAUUAGGUUAGUAGAUUUAGUUGCUUUAAUUAGGUUAGUAGAUUGUAGAUUGUAGGUUAGCUUUUUUUAGGUUAGUAGAUUGUAGGUCAGAUUUUAGGCUACUUUUUUAUAUUAAGAAGAAAAUAAGAAAAAGUAGAAGUGAAGAGGAAAAAGGAAAAUAAGGAAAAUGAAGAAGAAAAAGAAGACAAGAGGAAGAAGGAAAAGAAGGAAGAAGAAGAAAAAGAAAGAUCAAGGGGGAAAGGAGUUUAUUUUAGGUUAAUUUAGUUAGGUUAGAAUAAGUAGAAGGUGUUAGUUAGGUUAGUUUGAUUUUCUAGGUUAGUUUAAUUUUCUAGGUUAGUUAGGUUAGUUAUCUUUAGACUAGGUUAGUUAGGUUAGUUUCUAGGUUAGUUUAUAGGUUAGUUAGGUUAAGUAGUUUGACGGGUUUUGGUUAUGUCAUUUUGUUCUCCAAGAGAUGAUACUUGGCAAGAUAACCAAAUAUGGCAUUUUUUACAUGCUAGAAUUUUCUUGGAAUUUAUAGAGAAUAUUUCCUAUGUAAAUAUUCCAAAAGCUUGAAAUAUCAGAAAAG